UCUUCGAAACUGAAAGUUCCUGUCCAACGGGAAAACUACUUAACUACUAAUUGUCAAUUUGAAUAAAUUUUGUUUGAUAUAUAAAAUGAUUAUUGAUCAAAACGAAAGUUAGAUUUGAGAUUGGAACAGAAUACAAGGUGUGAUGGCUAAAUCAUAUUCUAACCAUGAUGGAAAUACUUGUUCUCCAAAAACAAUUUCCGAUGAAAACCAAACGUAUGAAAAUAUAGAUGACUUUGUAUUGUCGAACAUCAAUUAUGAUAACUUGCAAAACGAUCCAAAAAAAAGGAGCAUAUUUUGGAUAACAACACUGGCGACGAUA
rnacentral:lncRNA from 1 species